CGCACGUCAUACGGAAAACGUCAUUUUGAGGCUCACCCUGUUUUGCCCAAGUACUGCUUAGGUGUCACGUGUACACACUACACAAGGUGUCAUCCUCGUGCUAUGGUGGAGUAUAGGCACGUGUUGACGUCAUGGAGUUCUGAGGACUGGGACGAGGUAAGUGAGAUUCAAUAUUGCGCUUUGUUUCCAUGCUCUCAUGAAAGCAUUACAGUGAAUGGAGUCAUGAAAAUACAAAAAUAAGAUGAA